CCUACGGGUGGCAGCAGUGAGGAAUAUUGGUCAAUGGACGCAAGUCUGAACCAGCCAUGCCGCGUGCAGGAAGACGGCUCUCUGAGUUGUAAACUGCUUUUGUACGAGGGUAAACGCAGAUACGCGUAUCUGUCUGAAAGUAUCGUACGAAUAAGGAUCGGCUAACUCCGUGCCAGCAGCCGCGGUAAUACGGAGGAUUCAAGCGUUAUCCGGAGUUAUUGGGUUUAAAGGGUGCGUAGGCGGUCGGAUAAGUUAGAGGUGAAAUCCCGAGGCUCAACUUCGGAAUUGCCUCUGAUACUGUUAGGCUAGAGAGUAGUGGCGGUAGGUGGAAUGUAUGGUGUAGCGGUGAAAUGCGUAGAGAUCAUACAGAACACCGAUUGCGAAGGCAGCUUACCAAGCUACUUCUGACGUUGAGGCACGAAAGCGUGGGGAGCAAACAGGAUUAGAUACCCCAGUAGUC
rnacentral:rRNA from 1 species